UACGUAGGGUGCAAGCGUUAAUCGGAAUUACUGGGCGUAAAGCGUGCGCAGGCGGUUUUGUAAGUCAGAUGUGAAAUCCCCCGGGCUUAACCUGGGAACUGCGUUUGAAACUACAAGGCUAGAGUGUGGCAGAGGGGGGGUGGAAUUCCACGUGUAGCAGUGAAAUGCGUAGAGAUGUGGAGGAACACCGAUGGCGAAGGCAGCCCCCUGGGUUAACACUGACGCUCAGGCACGAAAGCGUGGGGGAGCAAACAGG
rnacentral:rRNA from 1 species